UACGAAGGGGGCUAGCGUUGUUCGGAAUCACUGGGCGUAAAGCGCGCGUAGGCGGCUUGAUAAGUCAGAUGUGAAAACCCUGGGCUUAACCCAGGACAUGCAUUUGAAACUGUCAGGCUAGAGUGCAGUAGAGGUUGGUAGAAUUCCCAGUGUAGAGGUGAAAUUCGUAGAUAUUGGGAGGAAUACCGAUGGCGAAGGCAGCCAACUGGGCUGCAACUGACGCUGAGGCGCAAAAGCGUGGGGAGCAAACAGG
rnacentral:rRNA from 1 species